rnacentral:rRNA from 1 species
UACGUAGGGUGCGAGCGUUGUCCGGAAUUACUGGGCGUAAAGAGCUCGUAGGUGGUUUGUCGCGUUGUUCGUGAAAACUCACAGCUUAACUGUGGGCGUGCGGGCGAUACGGGGCAGACUGGAGUACUGCAGGGGAGACUGGAAUUCCUGGUGUAGCGGUGGAAUGCGCAGAUAUCAGGAGGAACACCGAUGGCGAAGGCAGGUCUCUGGGCAUUAACUGACGCUGAGGAGCGAAAGCAUGGGGAGCGAACAGGA